UUUUAUGGAGAGUUUGAUCCUGGCUCAGAGUGAACGCUGGCGGCGUGCCUAAUACAUGCAAGUCGAACGAUGAAGCUU
rnacentral:rRNA from 2 species